rnacentral:rRNA from 1 species
CACGUAGGGUGCGAGCGUUGUCCGGAUUUACUGGGCGUAAAGAGCGCGCAGGCGGUUGGAUAAGUCGAAUGUGAAAGCCCCCGGCUCAACUGGGGAGGGUCAUUCGAUACUGUCCGACUCGAAGGCAGGAGAGGGAAGCGGAAUUCCCGGUGUAGUGGUGAAAUGCGUAGAUAUCGGGAGGAACACCAGUGGCGAAGGCGGCUUUCUGGCCUGUUCUUGACGCUGAGGCGCGAAAGCCAGGGGAGCAAACGGG